UACGGGGGGGGCAAGCGUUGUUCGGAAUUACUGGGCGUAAAGGGUUCGUAGGUGGCCUGCUAAGUCAGACGUGAAAUCCCUCAGCUUAACUGGGGAACUGCGUCUGAUACUGGAGGGCUUGAGUGCGGGAGAGGGAUGUGGAAUUCCAGGUGUAGCGGUGAAAUGCGUAGAUAUCUGGAGGAACACCGGUGGCGAAGGCGGCAUCCUGGACCGACACUGACGCUGAGGCGCGAAAGCUAGGGUAGCAAACGGG
rnacentral:rRNA from 1 species